rnacentral:tRNA from 6 species
AGGCCAGUAGCUCAGUUGGUAGAGCAUCGGAUUCCAAAUCCGACGGUCGGGGGUUCGAGUCCCUCCUGGCCUG